AGUUAAUGAACUUGAACUAAAAGUUUAUAUUUUGAAAAUAUAAUAAAGAAAUCUAAACCUUUCUAUUAACUU
rnacentral:tRNA from 1 species